rnacentral:lncRNA from 1 species
GUUUUAAUUUUUGUCACACUCCUCAUCUUAUCCCAUGCAUAACCUCUCCAUCACACCUAAGAGAUCUCAUCUAAGGCAUUGAAAUUAAAUCAAGAAUUGGAAAGGUGUGGAGAUAAGGUUGCAUUACAAGAAAGAAAUCUCUUCUCACCAUAAGCACACGUCCCACCUUUCCCCAAUUUUUUUGUCAUACAAAAUUAAUCUUCCAUGUCUCAAUUAGAGAAAUUUCUAUCUUAUUUUAAAUCAAAUUCAAAUAGAAAAAAAUUUGGAUGAAAAAGAGUUUCAGAAAAGGUGGGGCGCCAAUCUCCUUUCACACACACUAAG